CUGCGAAAUGGCAUCAUUUUGCAAUUAAAGAACUUCGGUUAGAGAUGGGCAUGCGGGACAUUAGCUAGUUGGUGAGGUAACGGCUCACCAAGGCUGCGAUGUCUAGGGGUCCUGAGAGGGUUUUCCCCCACACUGGUACUGAGACACGGACCAGACUCCUACGGGAGGCAGCAGUAAGGAAUAUUGGUCAAUGGGCGCAAGCCUGAACCAGCCAUGCCGCGUGCAGGAAGACGGCCCUAUGGGUUGUAAACUGCUUUUGUCAGGGAAUAAAUGUUACUACGUGUAGUA
rnacentral:rRNA from 1 species